rnacentral:misc_RNA from 1 species
CAUCGCCAUUGCCGACCUCUCCUUCUCUUCAUAUCCCCUUUCACCUCCUCUCUCUCCACCCCCAAAAUUCACCUGUCCUCUUCCUCUUCCCUCUUUCUCUAGCUAAAGAAUCUUCAAUUUCGUUUCUGAAAUCUUGGACGAGAGGUGAUUUGAAUCAGAAGAAUCGAUCCAGAAAUGGCUCAAAAGACGGAGAAGGAAGAGACUGAAUUCAAGGUGCCAGAAACUCUUGCCUUGUGUGUUAAUAAUUGUGGAUUUACUGGUAAUCCUGCCACUAAUAAUAUGUGUCAGAAAUGUUUUAACGCUACCACUAGCACCUCUAAUUCCACGACGGCGGCACCUGCAACUACAGCAUCAUCAGCCCUUGGUGUCUCAUCUGGGAGCGAGAUCUCGAGUAAAUCACCUAGAUCUAGCACAUCUCGAUCUCCUGUGAGAGAUCCGCUUCCGGAGACGUGUCAAAAGGCGGAGAUAUCGAUAGAUCGGGAAAAAUCCGACGUAGCGCUGGCUAGAAGGGAGGUGAAUCGGUGCUCGUGCUCAGGAUGCAGGAAGAAGGUUGGGUUGACCGGAUUUAGAUGCCGUUGUGGAGAGCUGUUCUGCUGGGAACACCGGUACUCUGAUCGACACGAUUGCAGCUACGACUACAAAGCAGCCGGCCGGGAGGCGAUAGCUAGAGAAAACCCCGUGGUCAAGGCGGCGAAGAUCGUUAAAGUUUGAUAAAAAAAAAAAGUCAAAUUUGAACAGAGAUUCAAAAUUUCUCGAUGAUCGAUGCUCUCGAUCUGAUCAUCUCUCUUUUUUCCUCAAAGAGAUAGAGAUCUCGUUAGCUAGUGAAGAUUUAGGGGGUUGAAAGAAGAGAUCGAUCGAUGAACCAGAAUCCAAUCAAUCAUGGCUUUGAAGAUAAUCCAGAUCUGGAUGAAGAUCAAGAUCAAAAUUCUUCUAUAAAAUGUCUUUUUCUUUUCCUUUUUUUUUAAUGAAAGAUCAUUAUUAUUAUUAUUAAUAUGAUUAUUAAUGUUAUUGUGGCUUAAUCGUGUUUGCUCUUUAUGUUUUCUCGAUGUGUUGGAGAGAUUUAGAAAUGGCAAUGGCAUAUGAAUGUAAAUUUGAAGAUAAGUUUAUGGCUCUUUUGUCAUUUUGGGCUUUUUGGUUGUUUUUUUCCCUUGCAACUGGAAAUUUCGAUGGGAAGGAUUAGAAAGUUG